rfam:Triticum aestivum genome assembly, contig: Triticum_aestivum_CS42_TGACv1_scaffold_033393_1BL
UAAAUACUCCCUCCGUCCGAAAAUACUUGUCAUCAAAAUGGAUAAAAAGAGAUGUAUCUAAAACUAAAAUACGUCUAGAUACAUUUCCUUUUAUCCAUUUUGAUGACAAGUAUUUCCGGACGGAGGGAGUAUUUG